GUUUCAGUCUCACUGUGGUUGGU
rnacentral:piRNA from 1 species